rnacentral:rRNA from 1 species
UCUGAGACACGAAUCCAGGCCCUACGGGGUGCAGCAGGCGCGAAAACUUUACAAUGCUGGCAACAGCGAUAAGGGAACCUCGAGUGCCAGGUUACAAAUCUGGCUGUCGAGAUGCCUAAAAAGCAUUUCAUAGCAAGGGCCGGGCAGGACCGGUGCCAGCCGCCGCGGUAACACCGGCGGCUCGAGUGGUAACCGUUAUUAUUGGGUCUAAAGGGUCUGUAGCCGGCCGGAUAAGUCUCUUGAGAAAUCUGGCAGCUUAACUGUCAGGCUUUCAGGAGAUACUGUCUGGCUCGAGGCCGGGAGAGGUGAGAGGUACUUCAGGGGUAGGGGUGAAAUCUUGUAAUCCUUGAAGGACCACCAGUGGCGAAGGCGUCUCACCAGAACGGACCUGACGGCAAGGGACGAAAGCUAGGGGCACGAACCGGAUUAGAUACCCGGGUAGUCCUAGCCGUAAACGAUACUCGCUAGGUGUCGGCCACGGUGCGACCGUUGUCGGUGCCGUAGGGAAGCCGUGAAGCGAGC